rnacentral:rRNA from 1 species
CCCUUAGAUGUCCUGGGCCGCACGCGCGCUACACUGAUGCAUUCAACGAGUAUUUCCUUGGCCGAGAGGCCUGGGCAAUCUUUUAAACCUGCAUCGUGAUAGGGAUAAAUUAUUGCAAUUAUUAAUCUUGAACGAGGAAUUCCUAGUAAACGCAAAUCAUCAAUUUGCAUUGAUUACGUCCCUGCCCUUUGUACACACCGCCCGUCGCACCUACCGAUUGAAUGGUCCGGUGAAAUCUCGGGAUUGUGGCCAGUUCACUUUAUUGGGAGUUGGCUGCGAGAACUUGCUUAAACCUUAUCAUUUAGAGGAAGGUGAAGUCGUAACA